CAAAAUGGCAGCCACCAUCCUUAUGUGGUGGCUUACCAUCAUAAGUGUAAAAACCAUCAUGUACAACUCAACAAUUUAUUGAAACAUAAACUCUGCCUGAAUAAAGAAAUAGGACAUCACCAGCACUCCCAAGACUAUCCUCUCCCUCACCUAAAGGCUGAGAACAUAGAGUCCCAAUACUGUGUACAAAUGUUACUUGGAUUAGUUGUUGCUUCUCCCCCGGUGUGGUUAAUGUUGUCC